AGUAAGGAAUAUUGGUCAAUGGACGGAAGUCUGAACCAGCCAUGCCGCGUGCAGGAUGACUGCCCUAUGGGUUGUAAACUGCUUUUGUCGAGGAAUAAACCUAUCUACGUGUAGAUAGCUGAAUGUACUCGAAGAAUAAGGAUCGGCUAACUCCGUGCCAGCAGCCGCGGUAAUACGGAGGAUCCGAGCGUUAUCCGGAUUUAUUGGGUUUAAAGGGUGCGUAGGCGGCACUUUAAGUCAGGGGUGAAAGACGGCAGCUUAACUGUCGCAGUGCCUUUGAUACUGAAGUGCUUGAAUGCGGUUGAAGACGGCGGAAUGAGACAAGUAGCGGUGAAAUGCAUAGAUAUGUCUCAGAACACCGAUUGCGAAGGCAGCUGUCUAAGCCGUUAUUGACGCUGAUGCACGAAAGCGUGGGGAUCGAA
rnacentral:rRNA from 1 species